GGCUUGGUGGCUGAGUGGUUAAGGCACCUGGCUUCUGAACCUGGGGACCUGGGUUCAAAUCUCGGUCAAGACU
rnacentral:tRNA from 1 species